GCAGAACGCGAAGAACCUUACCCGGGCUUGAAAGUUAGUGAAUAGAGCAGAGACGCUCUAGUCCUUCGGGACACGAAACUAGGUGCUGCAUGGCUGUCGUCAGCUCGUGCCGUGAGGUGUUGGGUUAAGUCCCGCAACGAGCGCAACCCCCUAUGUUUAGUUGCCAGCAUGUAAUGGUGGGGACUCUAAACAGACUGCCUAUGCAAAUAGAGAGGAAGGAGGGGGACCGACGUCAAGUCAUCAUGGCCCUUACGUCCGGGGCUACACACGUGCUACAAUGGACAGUACAGAGGGCAGCUACCUGGCAACAGGAUGCCAAUCUCCAAAAGCUGUUCACAGUUCGGAUCGGGGUCUGCAACUCGACCCCGUGAAGUUGGAUUCGCUAGUAAUCGCGUAUCAGCAAUGACGCGG
rnacentral:rRNA from 1 species